UGCGGGCGCCGCGAUUAAGCCCCGCCCCGCCUCCUCCCAGCCGUAUACGGGAACCGUAAGUACAAAACGUGGUGUGAACCCAGCCUUACUCUAACAUAAAGCUUGUGACUUCCAGAAAUACAUGGUUGGUCUGGAAGUUUAUUGCCCAGAAAGUAGAUUGUCAAGUGCCUGAUUAUACAAAAUCCUUACAGAUUAACUCAUGUCCUCAGAUCAGAUGCAGAAAUUUUGCUAAAAUAGAUUUAAGUGCUAUACAGCAUGACUGUAUAACAUAGUGAACACUGACAGCAUACAGGCAUAUGCUACUGAUCAGUGGAUGUCUUAAAAACAUUUUUGGACUUGAACAGAAUAAGAAUGUGCUCAAACUUUGGUAAAUGAUUUCUGUAACUAGUACAUAAGGUUGCCUGAAGUCAACUUGUUGCAUAAAUGUAUGCAUAUAACUAUAGAUACAUAUAUAUAUAUAUAUUUAUUUUUUAAAGGAAAAGUAAAAUAAUUUCUAUAAGGUGCUAAACCUAUACCUGCCAAACACAACUUUUUGUUCUGGAUGGAGAAGGCUUUCCAUUUGUACUAUUGCUUGACCACUGAAAUCUGAAAAUCACAUCCAAACAUCCAAUAAGUAUAAAUUACACAGUUUGGAAACUUAAACCAACCAGACUUUUUAUGAGCUCGGCAUGCAGGUCCAAUAUAUCCAUAUUUCGAAAACAUAUAGACUCAUUUGAUAUUACAAAAUACAAAAAUAGUUUAUCAGAACUUUCAUUUACAUUCCAUUUACAAUGAGUGCUUAAAUAACUUAAAGGUUAGCCUUAUCUGAUUCUUAAAAUACUUGAAAAUAAUACUAGUGCCCAAAAAGAGAGAGAAAAAAAAAAGCAUGUCGUUUGUAGUACGAGGAUGAGGGUCAAGCAGCAUACUGUACGUCUGGGUACGGCAUACAUUCAAGAAUAGAGUAUAUUCUCAAGGAGGAACAAAAGCAAGGCAGUAUUUUUUUAUUUUUUUUUGGCAGACUGAACUGGAAAUAAAGUGAAAUGUGCAAUAAAA